UCUUCUCUCUGUUCGUCUUCUUCCUUCUUGUGGGGAUAUAGGUGAUGGCUUUCCACAUUUUUUUCUUCUCCCUUCGGUAAUAAAUUACUUAAUUUCAACGUAUCUGCUUCAGUUUUAGUUUCUAUUUUUGUUCUUUCUUUGCUUGAUUAAAACCUUUUAAUUUAACUGCUUUUAGUAUGUUAUUUGAUUGAGAAAUAUCACGGGCUAUUGAGGUAGUUCACUUUGGUGCAUACCAGUGUGAGGUUUUUGGCAAACCAUAAAUCUCAGCAGUUGUAGUUUACGAAUACAAUGCAUCUACUUGGUAAAAAUUUAUGGGAGUCCAGCAUAUUGUUAGUAGCUUGGUCGCAACAACUUCGUUGGAUGUUAACAUUAAUCGCUAUAAUGAUGCAUUAAAGUUAUAUCUUGGUCUUUAUGCAGAAUUGCUCUUAUUUAGUGUCUAUUACAAGUCUUGCCUUGCUGUCCAUUAUGUUUCUCAUAGAAUGGUAUGUAAACUUCUUAAAGGUAUUUACUUUGAUAUGGUAUGACAAAUGGUCGCUUUGCUUUUCCCUGACUGUAAACAUAGUGUAUCAAUAUCUGAGAUGGAUUGUUAAUUACAUAUUUGUCGAAGCAUUGAUGAUUAUAAAUUCCCAAUUUGAUAUGGUUCUAUGCGUAAACAUGUGAUGGAUUUUAUCAAUAUAUGUAGAUGACACUAAAUCAGCCACACGCAAGGCACAGAGAGGAAUCCCUACUUCAGUUUACAUAUAUAGUGUUAGCAAAACGACAUUAAGAGGUCAAAGCCUUCAAAUUCUUAUCUAUAUAUUCUAAUUGAUUGCUUCAAAGUUAAAACUUUUUGCCAAACUAUUUUCACCCACCUUCAUAUGUUUUAAACAAGAUGUCUUCUCGGAGUUGCAGCGGCAUCGUUAGUCCAAGUUGGUAUUGAAAUCUACCGAUGCUUCUUUUUCGUUAUUUAAAUAAUCUAUAGUGGAUUCUGUGAUAUAGUGCGAUUUAUAUGGUUUAAGAAUUUUGAUUUGAGUUUCUUGGAUUUCUCAAUUUUAAGGUCGGGAGUACCUUUGAUUCAUACUUCCUCGCGUACACCUUUUGGUUUGAAGUUUGUAUGCUUACAUCAACUUUUGGGUAUGAGAUGCUAUAGCCUGCUGAUAUUAUCUUCUUUUACACAGGUUUCUGCUUAAGCUUACAACUUCAGGGGGUCUCUUGUUGAGGGAACUCAACUUGGAAGUUCUUAUCCAAAGGGAUGUUUCAAUAAGUAACUUUCAUUGUUCAUUGGAUUUUGAAUGCCACAUGCUUGCAGUUAAUCAGAUGUUUCAUGGCAAAGGAAGACAAUGGUAAUGGUCGUCUGUUGUUAGCAAUUCUACUCACAGCUGGGCAAAUUGUUGUUCUAUGCGUACUGGGUUGCCUGUGUUGCUUGUUGUUCCAGCUCGAAAUUAGGUCGUCUCUCAUAUUUGUUCUGAGGUGAGCUGAGUCGCGCUGCAGGUUAUGCUCUUUCCAUUGUUUUCAGGAGGCAGGAAGUCAAGAAUCGUGAAAAGAUAAUUUCCGACACCUAAAGUGCAGCCAAAUAAGGGCAGGAUGCUUAUAACAUCUUCUGCUUGAUUUGGUGUGGGUGGGUGCGGUGCUAAAUAUAUAUUGCGGAACAUAGAUUGUUUGAUGAGAAUGUUCUUUAACAACAUGUCACCUUCUUUGAUCGGAAUCACAAUGGCUUAGUUUAUCCAUGGGAGACCUAUGAAGGUUUUUUUUUUGCCUAAUUUUUUGUUCUCAUUUGUUCUUCUCCUUUUUUUUUUAUCUUACUAAAUAUUAGAUGGGUUUUGAUUAUGAGUACUUUGAGGAUGAGACAACAAAAAUAGUUGCUACAAAUAUUCAACGUAUGCUUCGUUUCUUGCAAAUUAUUAUUGUGCAGAUUUUGGGAGUUUCAAAUUAUAGUCAUAUUUAUAUUUGUCCAAUAUGAAUUUUCUUUGGAAAAUUAAGUACUCAAUGCCAUCGUCUUUUGUUCAAGGCCAACGGGCCAAAAGCAUGCGUGUUGUUUACUAAAAAGAAACAGAGCUAAUAAACAAAAGCAUGCAUGUUGUUUAGACGGAAUUUUGGGGCGAGUUUCGGCAUGCAUUUUGUACUCACGCGAUUGAUUUUUUCAUUCUUGAAUUGAUGGCGCAAAACGAUGACGUUUUUCUGUUGUCCAUAGUCUUCUUUGCAUGCAGAUGAAGCGAAAGCAAAUGUGGACAAAAUCAAUGUUUUCGUUUCGUGUGGGCGUUGCUUUUGACCCGCGUGACCUUUGCCAAGUUCUUUUCAAAGCGAUGAUUUAACUACGUAGCACAUUCAUCAGCCGGCCGCAAAUUCACCAACCCCACCGCAACGUGCGAGCUCCUGCCUAGUACCUGAUAGAGUGGAAGAGAUAAAGGGAAGUGGAGGAGAUAAUUUUUUUUUGAAAGGAAGUACUGGAGGACAUAAUGUGACUUUAUUUUUAAUAAAAUAUUAUUUAUAUGUAUAUUUGUAAUACUUAUAUAUUUUUAAUAAAAAUUAAAUUUAAUAAUGAA